rnacentral:rRNA from 1 species
UACCGAGGGGGCAAGCGUUGUUCGGAAUUACUGGGCGUAAAGGGCGCGUAGGCGGCCUGCUAAGUCGAACGUGAAAUCCCUGGGCUCAACCCAGGAACUGCGUCCGAUACUGGUUGGCUUGAAUCCGGGAGAGGGACGUGGAAUUCCAGGUGUAGCGGUGAAAUGCGUAGAUAUCUGGAGGAACACCGGUGGCGAAGGCGACGUCCUGGACCGGCAUUGACGCUGAGGCGCGAAAGCCAGGGGAGCAAACGGG